GCUGCGUCCCUCGGAGCCCCGAAGAGCUGCAGGGCGGGUCUUUGUCGCGUGGAGACAAAGCCGCUGAACCUGAGCCGUCGCCUGUGCAGGUGCGCGGGCUCGUUCGCGGGAGGCGUGCGCUCGGGGAGCGGGCUUCCUGCACGAGGUCGCCGCUCAGAGGCUGAUUGGACGGAAUCUCGCGACACCCAAGAGUUUUACCAUUAAAAUGGUGGAUUAAAUGUUCAUGCUGAUUCAUCCUUUUCCAUGAUGGCGUGUGCACAGAACCCUGAUUUGCAGCUCUGGUGUUUCUCUCUGUUUAUUGAAAGCAUCUACCUCACAGGACUGCCAGUAUUGGCACAUUACCCUAACUGGCCAUGAAUACAACUGUUGACAGGACCGAGGAUUAUGGAUUUUUGCAUCUCCAGCUCUGUAUGUGGAUUCUGUGAGAUGGUCCCCCAUUUGCCCCGCACCGUUUGUUGAAUGCUCCAUGUUUUCUCCGUUGACAUGAAAUGCCUCCCAGGGGAUUCUUGGGCAGACUUCAUGGCUUCUGAGCUGAGCUUGUGGUGACAGUGGUUCCUCUUUGUGAAACCUCUCCAGGCAGGCAGAGACCUCAAACAUGCCACUGAGAGCUGCAAACAAGUCAAACCCGCACCAGUACCAGCAUACGUGAGGUCUCCAAAUUGCAGCCUGGAAUGAUGUGAGCACAUGAUUCCCAUCUAGUUGGUUUCUCCACCCCACAUACCAUCUCUCCAAUAAAGUCAGGAGGUGACAGGGAAUAGUCACAUGGUUUUGGUUGUUUGUUUUGCAGACUUUACUCCAUCAACAUGUGAGGAAGACCCGAACUUAAUAUUUGCAAAGCACUUUGAACUAUGGAGAAGAAAGGUGCUAUGUAAUCCUUGUGUUAUCUUUUAGGUUUCAAGCAUGUUACUGUGACAUCAGCAUCCUAGGCUUAAUGAAGUUUUAUUUCAGUUAAUAUAAGUUCAUCCCUCUGUGUUCAACUAGCUGUGAAACCAAGCCACUGGGUGUGGAUUAUGAGGGCUGAAGUUUUGGGGGGCGGGCUGAAAUUUUUCAGAAUUCGUGAUAGCACAUGAGACCACUGAAGCCGGUUUACCUGCCUUCUAUCUACAAGGAUGCUUUUUAAACUAGGACACACAUCUAUUGUUCAGUGAUAAUUAUAGUGAUAAUGCUGACACUAAGAUACUGCAAAAUCCUUCUGCACCUUUUGAAUUAAGUUCUGACUCAUCAAAAAUAAUUAUAAGAAAUAUAACAAGUUUCAAGACAAUUUGGCUGUGUUCCUUAAUGGUUAGGAGUUUUGUUUAAGACACAGACAAGGGUGAGUUUAAUCUUGA